rnacentral:rRNA from 1 species
AUGAAAGAACACUUUGAUGCUCACAACUUGAGUGGAAUUGACCGCUCCGAGAGAUCACUUCGGUCCCAAUGGUCGACAAUCAACUCGGAUUGUCAAAAGUGGGCGGCCGUACAAAAGGCAGUUGACAAGAUUAACCCAAGUGGCACAAAUGAGGAUGAUCGAGUAAGUGGCAUCUCAUAUAUGUUCAUCAUACUUGUUUUUGGUGACUGA